rnacentral:rRNA from 1 species
GGAUAGAUACCCCACUAUGCCUAGCCAUAAACAUAGAUAAUUAUGUACUUAUUUAUCCGCCUGGGUACUACGAGCGUUAGCUUAAAACCCAAAGGACUKGGCGGUGCUUUAGAUCCACCUAGAGGAGCCUGUUCUAGAACCGAUAAUCCCCGUUAAACCUCACCUCUCCUUGCCUAGUCCGCCUAUAUACCGCCGUCGUCAGCUUACCCUGUGAAGAGAUAGAAGUAAGCACAACCGGCACAGCCCAAAACGUCAGGUCGAGGUGUAGCGUAUGGAGAGGGAAGAAAUGGGCUACAUUCGAUAGCAAUAUUGAAUACGGAUAAUGUUUUGAAAGAGACAUUUGAAGGAGGAUUUAGUAGUAAGCAGUGAAUAGAGAGCCCCGCUGAAACCGGCCCUGAAGCGCGCACACACCGCCCGUCACUCUCCCCGAGCUAACAUAAACCAAUUACUAAUAAACAAAAACUGUAAAGGGGAGGCAAGUCGUAACAUGGUAAGUGUACCGGAAGGUGCACUUGGAAUAACUCAGARCAUAGCUAAACAACGCAUAGCAUCUCCCUUACACUGAGAAGAUAUCCGUGCAACCCGGAUUGCCCURAAGCCCAAUA